GUGCUCGUGAAUAAACGUUCAUAGGGAAAGCCACUUUGUGGAAUGCAACCCUUUUUUGUUUCAUGAGUAGUCUAACUUAUGUAUACCAAAAAUAUAUAAAGAUUUUUUACACUAUCAGAUCACUCAAAGAUAUUUAUCCUCUAACCUCAACAUGAUCCGACCGAAAUCAACAGAAAUUGAUGUUGCCGGGGUGAAACAAAAGUCACUUGUUGCACGAAGCCAAGCUUCGCGAUAGAAGCAAGAAAAGACCGAGGGGCGAAGAGACAGUCUCAAGUCUUCUACCGGGCUUAUGAUUUUUCCGGGAUGUAGAAGAAGUUGAUCAUGAACGAGGUGAAAUGGAUUUAGGAAUUUAUAUUUGGUGAAAGGAUGGAUGUAUCAGCUUGACCUACAUAGAAAAAGAAAUUCUUUUUAUUGCGUUCACGACUAACUAUGGAAAAGUUAAAUUUUUUUUAUCGCUCUAAAGAAUUUAUAAAUUGUUAAUUCAGAA